AUUGAACGCUGGCGGCAGGCCUAACACAUGCAAGUCGAGCGGAUGAACGGAGCUUGCUCCUGUCUUCAGCGGAGGACGGGUGUGUAAUGCCUAUGAACUUGCCUUGUCGUGGGGGAUAACGUCCGGAAACGGGCGCUAAUACCGCAUACGUCCUGAGGGAGAAAGUGGGGGAUCUUCGGACCUCACGCUAUCAGAUGAGCCUAGGUCGGAUUAGCUAGUUGGUGGGGUAAAGGCCUACCAAGGCGACGAUCCGUAACUGGUCUGAGAGGAUGAUCAGGCACACUGGAACUGAGACACGGUCCAGACUCCUACGGGAGGCAGCAGUGGCGAAUAGUGGAAGAUGGGCGAAAGCCUGAUCCAGCCAUGCCGCGUGUGUGAAGAAGGUCUUCGGAUUGUAGAGCACUUUAAGUUGGGAGGAAGGGCAGUAAGUUAAUACCUUGCUGUUUUGACGUUACCAACAGAAUAAGCACCGGCUAACUUCGUG
rnacentral:rRNA from 1 species